GACGAACGCUGGCGGCGUGCCUAACACAUGCAAGUCGAGCGGAGCCAAUCGACGGAUUCCUUCGGGAUGAAGACGAGGAAGCUUAGCGGCGGACGGGUGAGUAACGCGUGAGUAACCUGCCCAUAAGAGGGGGAUAACACAAAGAAAUUUGUGCUAAUACCGCAUAUUGAGUAUUUACCGCAUGAUGAAUACUUGAAAGAUUUAUCGCUUAUGGAUGGACUCGCGUCUGAUUAGCUAGUUGGUGAGGUAGAGGCUCACCAAGGCGACGAUCAGUAGCCGAACUGAGAGGUUGAUCGGCCACAUUGGGACUGAGACACGGCCCAGACUCCUACGGGAGGCAGCAGUGGGGGAAUAUUGCGCAAUGGGGGAAACCCUGACGCAGCAACGCCGCGUGAAGGAAGAAGGGCCCUUCGGGUUGGUAAACUUUUGUCGUCAAGGGAAGAAGACAGUGACGGUACC
rnacentral:rRNA from 1 species